rnacentral:lncRNA from 1 species
GACUGUCUCUCUCUUCUCUCAAAAUACGCGAUUGUCCCAAAACGCGAAUUCUUCCCAUACCCAAGCCCUAGAUUCGUUGUGCCCUAGAUUCGCUGAGAACAAAAGUCGUCUCGCUUUCUCUCCAAAUCAGGUAUGUGUAACUUAGUUUCAUGUAACUAGCAUGGAUUAUAAACUAAGACAUGGUAUGGAAGAGCUUGAGCGAUGAAUAUGCUCUGACAUAAAUUAAAAUUAGACUAGUGCUAUGUGUAAUUAUGAGAUAGAGAAAGUUAAAGUAGCUUAGAGCUACAUAGUAUAUUGGCUCUAACAGUCUCAAAUAUGUUAUGGAGUAAUGUAUGUCAUUUGUGUGAAUUCACUCUGGCUGAAGUUUGUCAUUUACUUCAAUCUGGCUGAAGUUUGUUUACCACCGGCUUCUUCACUUACGGGUCUGAUUGAACAUCUAGUCUAAUGUAGGUAAUGAAUACUCCUUUUGUCACAAAAAGAGUCCUAUUUGCCAAAAAAAUUGUUCUACAAAAUUUUCAAUUUUUAUAAAUAGUGGUAUAAAAUGCAGUUUCAUAUAACUCGAAUUCGGGAGCUGAAAUUGGGAGGUAUGUUCAGGUGCUUAUUCUUUAAUUGUUAGGAAUUUUGCUAAAAUUGGGAGGUAUGUUGAGAGAAUGAUACUUUUGUUUAUUCUUUAAUUGGCUUGAAUUCAGGUGCUUAGGCUUGUGAAUUGAGUUAUAUCAUUGGCUCUUUUAUUUUUAGUUUGUUCUUUGACCAAUAUGUGCAUAUAGUGAUGGCACUUGUUUUCUCCUGUAUCGGUUGAAGAAAAAAUCAGUCAUGAGAACAAAUUCAUCAGGGAGUUCAUCACGCAGUUGCAAAUGUGGAGUUCCUUCACCUGUGAAGGUUUCAUGGACCAAAACAAAUUUUGGGAGACGAUUUGUUGGUUGCACAAAUUAUAAAACAAUACCAUGUAACUCGUUUAAUGAGUUGACUAUUGUUAUUGUCAAUGCCAAAAAUGACAAAGCUAUUGUAGAAA